UAGGGGAAUCUUCCACAAGUGGGCGCAAGCCUGAUGGAGCAACACCGCGUGAGUGAAGAAGGGUUUCGGCUCGUAAAGCUCUGUUGUUGGAGAAGACGUGCGUGAGAGUAACUGUUCACGCAGUGACGGUAUCCAACCAGAAAGUCACGGCUAACUACGUGCC
rnacentral:rRNA from 1 species